GCCGGAGUGGCGGAAUUGGGAGACGCAGGGGACUCAAAAUCCCCCGGGAGUCACUCCCGUGUGGGUUCGAAUCCCACCUCCGGCACCA
rnacentral:tRNA from 1 species